rnacentral:rRNA from 1 species
CGAACGGGUGAGUAAUACAUAAAUAAUCUACCAUAAUGACUGGGAUAACCAAUGGAAACGCUGGCUAAUACCGGAUAGGUAAAACGAGGGCAUCUUUGUUUUAUUAAAGUAGGACUACUACACAAUAUGAUGAGUUUAUGGCGCAUUAGCUAGUUGGUGAGGUAACGACUCACCAAGGCGAUGAUGCGUAGCCGACCUGAGAGGGUGACCGGCCACACUGGGACUGAGACACGGCCCAGACUCCUACGGGAGGCAGCAGUAGGGAAUUUUCGGCAAUGGGCGCAAGCCUGACCGAGCAACGCCGCGUGAGUGAAGAAGGCCUUCGGGUUGUAAAGCUCUGUUGUAAGGGAAGAACACUUUUUAGAGGAAAUGCUAGAGAGCUGACGGUACCUUACCAGAAAGCCACGGCUAACUACGUGCCAGCAGCCGCGGUAAUACGUAGGUGGCGAGCGUUAUCCGGAAUUAUUGGGCGUAAAGGGUGCGUAGGCGGUUUAUUAAGUCUGUGGUGAAGGUGCGGGGCUCAACCCCGUAUGGCCACAGAAACUGAUAGACUAGAGUACAGGAGAGGGCAGUGGAAUUCCAUGUGUAGCGGUAAAAUGCGUAGAUAUAUGGAGGAACACCGGUGGCGAAGGCGGCUGCCUGGCCUGUAACUGACGCUGAGGCACGAAAGCGUGGGGAGCAAAUAGGAUUAGAUACCCUAGUAGUCCACGCUGUAAACGAUGAUUACUAAGUGUUGGAGAAAUUCAGUGCUGCAGUUAACGCAAUAAGUAAUCCGCCUGGGGAGUAUGCACGCAAGUGUGAAACUC